rnacentral:tRNA from 1 species
UGGGGUGUGGCUCAGAGGCCGAGCGCUCACCUGGCACGCGCGAGGCACUGGGUUCCAUCCUCAGCACCUCAU